rfam:Parasitella parasitica strain CBS 412.66 genome assembly, contig: contig_4447
GCCCUGUUAGCUCAAUCGGUAGAGCGUGAGACUUUUAAUCUCAAGGCUGCGGGUUCGACCCCCGCAUAGGGCU